GAUGAAGAACGUAGCGAAGUGCGAUAAGUAAUGUGAAUUGCAGAAUUCAGUGAAUCAUCGAAUCUUUGAACGCACCUUGCACUCCUUGGUAUUCCGAGGAGUACGCCUGUUCGAGUGUUAUGAAGCUCUCAAAACGCAAUUGGCUUAAAACCUGAUUGUUGUUUUGGAUUUGAACUUUGCCGUGUUAUAACGGCUGGUUUUAAAAGUAUUAGCUGGUACUAGAACGAAUUGGUUCUACUCAACGUGAUAAUUAUCUGAUCGUUGAGGACAUUCCUUUCACGAGGAAUGGCCAUAGUAAAUUCAAUGGACUGCUUCUAAUCUGGCUUUAAUUCUUUAUUGGAUUAACCACUUUUCAAAUCUGACCUCGAAUCAGGUGGGACUACCCGCUGAACUUAAGCAUAUCAAUAAGCGGAGGA
rnacentral:misc_RNA from 1 species